rnacentral:tRNA from 1 species
GCAGUGGUAGUUCGGUGGCAAAAUUCUCACCUUCCAUGUAGGAAACUCAAGUUUAAUUCCUGGCCAAUGCA